rnacentral:rRNA from 1 species
UACGUAGGGGGCAAGCGUUGUCCGGACUUACUGGGCGUAAAGCGCGUGCAGGCGGAUUGGUAUGUGCCGUGUGAAAGCUCUCAGCUUGCCUGGGAGAGGUCGCGGUAGACAGCCGAUCUGGAGGCUCGGAGAGGUCAGUGGAAUUCCCGGUGUAGUGGUGAAAUUCGUAGAUAUUCGCAAGAACACCAGUGGCGAAGGCGGCUCACUGGCCCGAUACUGACGCUGAGGUGCGAAAGCGUGGGGAGCAAACAGG